rnacentral:lncRNA from 1 species
CAAAAUGUAGUGUAUAUGAAUUUGUAACGACCCCAUAUACAGCCCCCGCCCUAAGCCAGGGCAAUCAGUGCAACUGCUCUGGCCCUGACUUAAGGAAGGUCCCCAAAUUUUUUUAUUUUUUUUAUGUGGUCAUAUUUUGGUAACUAGUUAUAUAAAUAAACACAUCAAUAUUAUCUUAAGUUGACUCUAGCGGUGGUAAGGUCUCUAGUUUUUAAUGCACACCCAACUUAGGUUCGAUCCCAACAUUGUGUAUGUUUUUUAAUUUCUUUUCUAGGCGAGUGCAUGGUUCUUUUUAGUAAUUUUUUUUGUCUUCAAUCAUUUCUUAUAUACAAUAAAUAAAAUUUUGUCCAAGGCCUAAACUUUUUUCUAUGGUUAUAAAAGUUUUAUUUUUUUAAUAUUCUACACACAAGCACAAAUAAAAUCAAAUGAUUUUUCUUGUGUGUGGAGCUAUAGAUACACAGGAUGUUCAAUCAUUUCUUAUAUACAAAAAUUAAAUGACACUUUGUCAAAGCCUUAAAUUUUU